rnacentral:lncRNA from 1 species
UUUAGUCCCGGUUGUAAUGGCUAGUUCCCAGCCACCGACGGUGCCCCCCUUUUGUUCCGGUUGGAGCCUCUAAUCGGGACAAAAGGGUUGCGCUUUUGUCCCAGUUGGUGGUUCCAAUCGGGAGUAAACUUCAACCGGGACAAAAGGUGUUCCUUUUUGUCCCAGUUGGAAUUUUAAACCGGGAUAAAAACUCAUCCCCCGUUAAAUCCCAAGAUAGAUCCCUUUCUUCCUCCUCC